rnacentral:rRNA from 1 species
UACGUAGGGCGCAAGCGUUAUCCGGAAUUAUUGGGCGUAAAGAGCUCGUAGGCGGUUUGUCGCGUCUGCCGUGAAAGUCCGGGGCUCAACUCCGGAUCUGCGGUGGGUACGGGCAGACUAGAGUGCAGUAGGGGAGACUGGAAUUCCUGGUGUAGCGGUGAAAUGCGCAGAUAUCAGGAGGAACACCAAAGGCGAAGGCAGUGUCCUGGGGAGUACCUGACGCUCAGGUGCGAAAGCCAGGGGAGCGAACGGG